CCUACGGGCGGCAGCAGUAGGGAAUCUUUCACAAUGGGCGAAAGCCUGAUGGAGCAACGCCGCGUGCAGGAUGAAGGCCUUCGGGUUGUAAACUGCUUUUAUAAGCGAGAAAUAUGAUGGUAACUUAUGAAUAAGGAUCGGCUAACUACGUGCCAGCAGCCGCGGUCAUACGUAGGAUCCGAGCAUUAUCCGGAGUGAAUGGGUGUAAAGAGUUGCGUAGGUGGCAUAAUAAGUAGCUAGUGAAAUCUGGUGGCUCAACCAUUCAGACUACUAGCUAAACUGUUAAGCUCGAGACCGUUAGUGGUAACUGGAAUUUCUAGUGUAGGAGUGAAAUCCGUAGAUAUUAGAAGGAACACCAAUAGCGUAGGCAGGUUGCUGGGACGGUUCUGACACUAAGGCACGAAAGCGUAGGGAGCAAACGGGAUUAGAUACCCUAGUAGUC
rnacentral:rRNA from 1 species